UACUUAUCAAGAGAAGCAGAGGGACUGGCCCUAUGAUGCUUCAGCAACCGCUAAUUAUGGCAUGGUGCUACAUCCAGCAAGAAACGUCUUGAGAGAUAAGUG
rnacentral:ncRNA from 2 species